rnacentral:rRNA from 1 species
UUUUUUACGAACCCUGGCGGCAGGUUCUAACACAUGCAAUCGAGCGCGCCCUUCGGGGUGAGCGGCGGACGGGUGAGUAACGCGUGGGAACGUGCCCUCUUCUGCGGAAUAGCCACUGGAAACGGUGAGUAAUACCGCAUACGCCCUUUUGGGGAAAGAUUUAUCGGAGGAGGAUCGGCCCGCGUUGGAUUAGGUAGUUGGUGGGGUAAUGGCCUACCAAGCCGACGAUCCUUAGCUGGUUUUAGAGGAUGAUCAGCCACACUGGGACUGAGACACGGCCCAGACUCCUACGGGAGGCAGCAGUGGGGAAUCUUAGACAAUGGGCGCAAGCCUGAUCUAGCCAUGCCGCGUGAGUGACGAAGGCCCUAGGGUCGUAAAGCUCUUUCGCCUGUGAUGAUAAUGACAGUAGCAGGUAAAGAAACCCCGGCUAACUCCGCGCCAGCAGCCGCGGUAAUACGGAGGGGGUUAGCGUUGUUCGGAAUUACUGGGCGUAAAGCGCGCCGUA